UACAGAGACCCCAAGCAUUAUCCGGAUUUAUUGGGCGUAAAGCGUUCGUAGGCGGUUUCGUAAGUCAUCUGUUAAAUCUUCAUGCUUAACAUGGAGGCUGCGGGUGAUACUGUGAGACUAGAGUAUGGGAGAGGUAAGCGGAAUGCCCGGUGUAGCGGUAAAAUGCGUUAAUAUCGGGUAGAACACCAAAUGCGAAGGCAGCUUACUGGAACAUUACUGACGCUCAGUGAACGAAAGCGUGGGUAGCGAAAGGG
rnacentral:rRNA from 1 species